AGACAAAUACACAAAUCUCGAUCUGCACAUGGUGGAAACACCAGAGAAAAGCCAAAAGAUCAGAAUAGUAUCACAGGAAAAAACAAUUGACUUUAUAUCACUUUAAUAAUAAAACAUAGAGGUAAUACCCAUGUUACAUCAAACAAAAUAAUCAACAAUUGCAAAGACAACAAGUAAUUACUGUGUCAGGCAUUUCCUCAUGAAAACAAACCUAAGUGUAUUGGUCAGCCUGUCCCCAAGUAUUGCCUUGCAAUCUUCCAAUGCAAUGAUGGGGAGGGAAAAAAAUGAUUAGAUAUAACAAAAUUCCAAUGAUUAAAUUGCAUGUAAAAUAACUUGGAAUAUCUUCUUUCAUGUACCUAGAUCAUGCAUGUAAACUAAAUUGCAUCUCUCUUUAAAAGCACAAGUUUCAUGCACAAAGAUCAGAUGAUAAUCUUACCCAUUCUUUGUUUUCCACAAGCUAUAACCCCAUGCACUUUACAAGGACUAAUUUCCAUUUGUUUUCAUAUGUUCGCCAAAAUUGCUACUCAUGGUUGUCUACAAAUUACCUAAUGCAUCCCACAUCGGUUCUGCAGGGAGGCUUUGGGUGAUAUAUAUAUAGGUUUGCAAAACUUCACUUGUGAGCUAGCUUUUGAGGU
rnacentral:misc_RNA from 1 species